UACGUAGGGGGCAAGCGUUGUCCGGAAUCAUUGGGCGUAAAGCGCGUGUAGGCGGCUCGAUAAGUCUGCUGUGAAAGUCCAGGCUCAACCCUGGGAUGCCGGUGGAUACUGUCGAGCUCGAGUCCGGAAGAGGCGAGUGGAAUUCCUGGUGUAGCGGUGAAAUGCGCAGAUAUCAGGAGGAACACCGAUGGCGAAGGCAGCUCGCUGGGACGUGACUGACGCUGAGACGCGAAAGCGUGGGAGAGCGAACAGG
rnacentral:rRNA from 1 species